ACCAAGUAUGGCGGCUCACACCUGUAAUCUGAGCUACUAAGGAGAUUGAAAUUGGUGGGUCUCUUAGGUUCAGGAGUUCUGACCUGUAGUCUGCUAUGCUGAUUAAAUGUUAGCACAAAGUUCAGCAUUAAUAAGGUAGAUAUUUUUGGACUAGGAUACCACAGGUUGUCCAAGGAGGAGCAAACAGGCCCAGGUUGGAAACAGAGCAGGUUAAAGUUCCCAAGCUGAUCAGUAGGAGGAUCAGACCAGUGAGUAGUCCCGGUACUUAUCGCCUGAGAGAGACAGGGACACCCAGUCCUU
rnacentral:SRP_RNA from 1 species